UAUUUUGUAACGUUAUCUGGAACGUUUGUUAGUUUAGGAAGACUUUCUCUGAGAAAUAAUUAGUUCAUUGAGUAAAAAUUAUUCUUGCCGCGGAUUUACAAUAAUUAUACAGCAAAUUUAGAAUUUUAAGAACCAUUUAUAUAUUAGCCUCAAAGUUUACCAUAAAAGCUUGCCUUGAGCUUUGUACUAAAAAUAGUUAAGAGAUUAAACGUAGAUGGCAUACGAAACAGGAAUAAAAUCAACUGUGGUAUUUGUCUAAACUUUUAAGUUGAAUAGUAUUAGUGAAGGUCAGAAUUAAUGAGACAUCACUUUUGGAGGGUCUUAAACUCAUCUGCUGGACUGAAUCCCCCAUUUUAGAAAGUCGUUGGCUAGAGUACAGAAGCUAGUCACUGUGUCUCUACCUUUUAAUUUCUGAGUUUAAGUUUUUUUGGAAGUAUACCACAAGUGGCGAAAGCUCUGCGCUCUUGUGUAAUUGAUCAAAAUCUACAAAGCGUCCAACCGACGUUUUUUUUGUCCGGAUCAAAGGUCUUUGGACCUCUACACCCGCCAUUUUGUUGGCGCACUACACGUGGAACACUCCGUCGGUACCAACUCGUGAAGGCCCGCCAGUUUUGGCAGUCAAACGGGGCUGAGGAAAACCCAUCCGGCCUGCUUGCGCCUCGUAGUGAUCUGGCAGAGUACCGGAGCCGCCGACGCCCUCUCCCCGCAACUCUACAUCGGCCAAAAGUCCACUGAGCGUACCAGACAGCACCGGCCCUAUAGAUGCGGUCCCCCUAGCCAGUGUGAGACCCCGCUACGUCUCUGCGCCACUGCCUGAAUCAGCGGUCGCCGUUGGCAUGCCCCUCGGUCGGUGAACCGCAUGACGCCCAGCAUAAAACCCUGCGCAGGUUAGUGUAUCAUGGCCAUGAUGAACACACAACAUACAACACAUACACAGACACACACACACUCUAUCUAAAACGAAAAGAUGAAUAUACAUGCAAAAUGAAUUUAAGCUAAA